CUAGUACUCCCUCCGUCCGGAAGUACUUGUCGAAGGAAUGGAUGAAAAUGAAUGUAUCUACAACUAAAUUGCGUCUAGAUAUAUCCAUUUCCUCGACAAGUAUUUCGGACGGAGGGAGUAGCUU
rfam:Triticum aestivum genome assembly, contig: Triticum_aestivum_CS42_TGACv1_scaffold_404876_5BL